rnacentral:rRNA from 1 species
AUUGAACGCUGGCGGCAGGCCUAACACAUGCAAGUCGAGCGGAUGAAGGGAGCUUGCUCCUGGAUUCAGCGGCGGACGGGUGAGUAAUGCCUAGGAAUCUGCCUGGUAGUGGGGGAUAACGUCCGGAAACGGGCGCUAAUACCGCAUACGUCCUGAGGGAGAAAGUGGGGGAUCUUCGGACCUCACGCUAUCAGAUGAGCCUAGGUCGGAUUAGCUAGUUGGUGGGGUAAAGGCCUACCAAGGCGACGAUCCGUAACUGGUCUGAGAGGAUGAUCAGGCACACUGGAACUGAGACACGGUCCAGACUCCUACGGGAGGCAGCAGUGGGGAAUAUUGGACAAUGGGCGCAAGCCUGAUCCAGCCAUGCCGCGUGGGUGAAGAAGGUCUUCGGGUUGUAAAGCACUUUAAGUUGGGAGGAAGGGCAGUAAGUUAAUACCUUGCUGUUUUGACGUUACCAACAGAAUAAGCACCGGCUAACUUCGUG